GGGGCGUCUCCUGAGGAGGCGUCCGCUGCAAGGGCUGGAGAGGGGACCAGUCGGGGGUCGCGGAAGAGUAACGAGGGGACAUCACCGAAGAAAGCCCCCGCUCCUGUUCUUCAUCCCGAAAGUCGAUCAGGAGAGGCGAGGAGGCCGUGGGUCCCCCUGGUGAUCCCAGAGGAAGCCUCCUGCGAGAUGCAGGAAUAAGCUGGGUGGGCGGAGCCUCGCCGAGGGUGUCCUGGGCAGGCCCGCUGUCCGUGGCCCGGGGCUGUGUCACCCUCUGCUCCUUGGGUGGUUCCGGUCGACGAGGAAGGAAGAUCGGGGCAACCCGUGCUGGAGGGAUUGCUUCCCGAUCCACCUCAGGAGACCAAUCUGGAGCCACGGCGUC